GACGAACGCUGGCGGCGCGCCUAACACAUGCAAGUCGAACGAGCGAGAGGAGGUUUACUUUCUCAAGCGAGUGGCGAACGGGUGAGUAACGCGUGAGGAACCUGCCUCAAAGAGGGGGACAACAGUUGGAAACGACUGCUAAUACCGCAUAAGCCCACGGCUCGGCAUCGAGCAGAGGGAAAAGGAGCAAUCCGCUUUGAGAUGGCCUCGCGUCCGAUUAGCUGGUUGGUGAGGUAACGGCCCACCAAGGCGACGAUCGGUAGCCGGACUGAGAGGUUGAACGGCCACAUUGGGACUGAGACACGGCCCAGACUCCUACGGGAGGCAGCAGUGGGGAAUAUUGCACAAUGGGGGAAACCCUGAUGCAGCGACGCCGCGUGGAGGAAGAAGGUCUUCGGAUUGUAAACUCCUGUUGUUGAGGAAGAUAAUGACGGUACUCAACAAGGAAGUGACGGCUAACUACGUGCCAGCAGCCGCGGUAAAACGUAGGUCACAAGCGUUGUCCGGAAUUACUGGGUGUAAAGGGAGCGCAGGCGGGAAGACAAGUCGGAAGUGAAAUCCAUGGGCUCAACCCAUGAACUGCUUUCAAAACUGUUUUUCUUGAGUAGUGCAGAGGUAGGCGGAAUUCCCGGUGUAGCGGUGGAAUGCGUAGAUAUCGGGAGGAACACCAGUGGCGAAGGCGGCCUACUGGGCACCAACUGACGCUGAGGCUCGAAAGUGUGGGUAGCAAACAGGAUUAGAUACCCUGGUAGUCCACACUGUAAACGAUGAUUAAAGGGUGUUGGAGGAUUGACCCCUUCAGUGCCGCAGUAACACAAUAA
rnacentral:rRNA from 1 species